GUUAGCUCAGUUGAUAAGGUGCCGGGCUCUCAACCUUGAGGUCCGGGGUUCGAUUCCCC
rnacentral:tRNA from 1 species